rnacentral:rRNA from 1 species
CCUACGGGAGGCAGCAGUGGGGAAUUUUGGACAAUGGACGCAAGUCUGAUCCAGCCAUGCCGCGUGCGGGAAGAAGGCCUUCGGGUUGUAAACCGCUUUUGUCAGGGAAGAAACGGCUCUGGUUAAUACCUGGGGCUAAUGACGGUACCUGAAGAAUAAGCACCGGCUAACUACGUGCCAGCAGCCGCGGUAAUACGUAGGGUGCAAGCGUUAAUCGGAAUUACUGGGCGUAAAGCGUGCGCAGGCGGUUAUGCAAGACAGAUGUGAAAUCCCCGGGCUCAACCUGGGAACUGCAUUUGUGACUGCAUAGCUAGAGUACGGUAGAGGGGGAUGGAAUUCCGCGUGUAGCAGUGAAAUGCGUAGAUAUGCGGAGGAACACCGAUGGCGAAGGCAAUCCCCUGGACCUGUACUGACGCUCAUGCACGAAAGCGUGGGGAGCAAACAGGAUUAGAUACCCUGGUAGUCCACGCCCUAAACGAUGUCAACUGGUUGUUGGGAGGGUUUCUUCUCAGUAACGAAGCUAACGCGUGAAGUUGACCGCCUGGGGAGUACGGCCGCAAGGUUGAAACGUCAAAGGAUUGACGG